CUGGUGUUCGGGUUGUCAUGCCAAUGGCAUUGCCCGGUAGCUACGUUCGGAACUGAUAAGCGCUGAAAGCAUCUAAGCGCGAAGCAGGCCUCGAGAUGAGUUCUCACUAGACUUUUAAAGUCUCUGAAGGGCCGUUGAAGACUACAACGUUGAUAGGCAAGAUGUGGAAGUGGUGUGAGCCAUUAAGCUAACUUGUACUAAUUACCCGUGAGGCUUAACCAUACAACGCCAAACGCGUUUUG
rnacentral:rRNA from 1 species